AAGUCGUAACAAGGUUUCCGUAGGUGAACCUGCGGAAGGAUCAUUAACACGUAUCCAACGUUAAACAACCCUGUGAACUUUCAGCCUGCUCUUGUAACCAUGAGGAACAGCAAUCCCGGUAAAUCAUUGCAAACAGUUUUAAAGGUGUUACAAUUGAGCGGUAGAGGCAGUGGCAUGGCUUCCCCAAGCAGUUAGUGAAUGACAGUGUCACUGAUUGUGUAAGGAUAACGCCUCACGGUUGCCAGAGGUCGAUCACCGACCGGCAGACAUGUCACAGGGUCACCACGCCCCUUAAUCACCCCAAUUUGAAAUUGCUCCUACCUGGUGGUAACGCACUGGGUCAAAAAAACCGAACAACUGUUAACAAUGGAUAUCUUGGUUCUC
rnacentral:misc_RNA from 1 species